GAUAAAAUAUUAGAGGAGAAGGAUGAAAAAUUAAUUUCUAAAAUGUAUAAUUAUCUAUUAGAAUUUGAAAUUGCAGAAGAAAUAGUUAAAGGCCCAAGAUCGCAUGGGCAAGGAAUGUAGGGCACAACAUUAAUUUGGAAGAUUAGGAAAAAGUCUGGAAACAAAAUUAUAAAAUAACAAAAUCGGUUGUUUAUAAAGAAAACCAAUACAAAAUUUGUUAUACAAUGGU